AGCGAACGCUGGCGGCAGGCCUAACACAUGCAAGUCGAACGAACUCUUCGGAGUUAGUGGCGGACGGGUGAGUAACACGUGGGAACGUGCCUUUUGGUUCGGAAUAACUCAGGGAAACUUGUGCUAAUACCGAAUGUGCCCUUCGGGGGAAAGAUUUAUCGCCAUUAGAGCGGCCCGCGUCUGAUUAGCUAGUUGGUGAGGUAACGGCUCACCAAGGCGACGAUCAGUAGCUGGUCUGAGAGGAUGACCAGCCACACUGGGACUGAGACACGGCCCAGACUCCUACGGGAGGCAGCAGUGGGGAAUCUUGCGCAAUGGGCGAAAGCCUGACGCAGCCACGCCGCGUGAAUGAUGAAGGUCUUAGGAUUGUAAAAUUCUUUCACCGGGGACGAUAAUGACGGUACCCGGAGAAGAAGCCCCGGCUAACUUCGUG
rnacentral:rRNA from 1 species